rnacentral:rRNA from 1 species
UACGGAGGGUCCAAGCGUUAUCCGGAUUUAUUGGGUUUAAAGGGUGCGCAGGCGGAACUUUAAGUCAGUGGUGAAAUCUUGCCGCUUAACGGUAAAUUGCCAUUGAUACUGAAGUUCUUGAAUGUAGUUGAGGUAGGCGGAAUGUGUUGUGUAGCGGUGAAAUGCAUAGAUAUGACACAGAACGCCAAUUGCGAAGGCAGCUUACUAAGCUACUAUUGACGCUGAGGCACGAAAGCGUGGGGAGCGAACAGG